UACAGAGGUCUCAAGCGUUGUUCGGAUUCAUUGGGCGUAAAGGGUGUGUAGGUGGCGCCGUAAGUCGGGUGUGAAAUUUCGGAGCUUAACUCCGAAACUGCAUUCGAUACUGGCGUGCUUGAGGACUGGAGAGGAGACUGGAAUUUACGGUGUAGCAGUGAAAUGCGUAGAUAUCGUAAGGAAGACCAGUGGCGAAGGCGGGUCUCUGGACAGUUCCUGACGCUGAGGCACGAAGGUCAGGGGAGCAAACGGGG
rnacentral:rRNA from 1 species